GACUCGUCACACUAUCAUUAACUGAAUCCAUAGGUUAAUGAGGCGAACCGGGGGAACUGAAACAUCUAAGUACCCCGAGGAAAAGAAAUCAACCGAGAUUCCCCCAGUAGCGGCGAGCGAACGGGGAGGAGCCCAGAGCCUGAAUCAGCAUGUGUGUUAGUGGAAGCGUCUGGAAAGGCGCGCGAUACAGGGUGACAGCCCCGUACACAAAAGCGCAUGUGCUGUGAGCUCGAUGAGUAGGGCGGGACACGUGGUAUCCUGUCUGAAUAUGGGGGGACCAUCCUCCAAGGCUAAAUACUCCUGACUGACCGAUAGUGAACCAGUACCGUGAGGGAAAGGCGAAAAGAACCCCGGCGAGGGGAGUGAAAAAGAACCUGAAACCGUGUACGUACAAGCAGUGGGAGCCCCACCACUAAGCCAGUGGUGAACUCCACAUACGCAUCCUUUGCUGAGGAUACGGUUAACGGAGCGAAAGCGACGUUCAACCUCAAAACAAGCAGAGGGGGCUUAGUGGUGGGGUGACUGCGUACCUUUUGUAUAAUGGGUCAGCGACUUAUAUUCUGUAGCAAGGUUAACCGUAUAGGGGAGCCGGAGGGAAACCGAGUCUUAACCGGGCGUUAAGUUGCAGGGUAUAGACCCGAAACCCGGUGAUCUAGCCAUGGGCAGGUUGAAGGUUGGGUAACACUAACUGGAGGACCGAACCGACUAAUGUUGAAAAAUUAGCGGAUGACCUGUGGCUGGGGGUGAAAGGCCAAUCAAACCGGGAGAUAGCUGGUUCUCCCCGAAAGCUAUUUAGGUAGCGCCUCGUGAAUUCAUCUCCGGGGGUAGAGCACUGUUUCGGCUAGGGGGCCAUCCCGGCUUACCAACCCGAUGCAAACUGCGAAUACCGGAGAAUGUUAUCACGGGAGACACACGGCGGGUGCUAACGUCCGUCGUGAAGAGGGAAACAACCCAGACCGCCAGCUAAGGUCCCAAAGUCAUGGUUAAGUGGGAAACGAUGUGGGAAGGCCCAGACAGCCAGGAUGUUGGCUUAGAAGCAGCCAUCAUUUAAAGAAAGCGUAAUAGCUCACUGGUCGAGUCGGCCUGCGCGGAAGAUGUAACGGGGCUAAACCAUGCACCGAAGCUGCGGCAGCGACAUUUAGGUGUUGUUGGGUAGGGGAGCGUUCUGUAAGCCUGUGAAGGUGGCCUGUGAGGGUUGCUGGAGGUAUCAGAAGUGCGAAUGCUGACAUAAGUAACGAUAAAGCGGGUGAAAAGCCCGCUCGCCGGAAGACCAAGGGUUCCUGUCCAACGUUAAUCGGGGCAGGGUGAGUCGACCCCUAAGGCGAGGCCGAAAGGCGUAGUCGAUGGGAAACAGGUUAAUAUUCCUGUACUUGGUGUUACUGCGAAGGGGGGACGGAGAAGGCUAUGUUGGCCGGGCGACGGUUGUCCCGGUUUAAGCGUGUAGGUGUGUGUUCCAGGUAAAUCCGGUUCACUUUAACACUGAGGCGUGACGACGAGGCACUACGGUGCUGAAGCAACAAAUGCCCUGCUUCCAGGAAAAGCCUCUAAGCAUCAGGUAACAUCAAAUCGUACCCCAAACCGACACAGGUGGUCAGGUAGAGAAUACCAAGGCGCUUGAGAGAACUCGGGUGAAGGAACUAGGCAAAAUGGUGCCGUAACUUCGGGAGAAGGCACGCUGACAC
rnacentral:rRNA from 1 species